AACGAACGCUGGCGGCAGGCCUAACACAUGCAAGCCGAGGGAGAAACUAUCUUCGGAUAGCGGAGACCGGCAGACGGGUGAGUAACACGUGGGAACAUACCUUGUACUGGGGGAUAACAGUUGGAAGCGACUGCUAAUACCGCAUACGCCCUUCGGGGGAAAGAUUUAUCGGUAUAAGAUUGGCCCGCGUUAGAUUAGCUAGUUGGUAAGGUAAAAGCUUACCAAGGCGACGAUCUAUAGCUGGUUUGAGAGGAUGAUCAGCCACACUGGGACUGAGACACGGCCCAG
rnacentral:rRNA from 1 species